GCACUUACUCCAUUCUGCCGCCCUGUGAAGAGGGUGCCUGCUUUUCCUUUGCCUUCUGCCAUGAUUGAAACCACACAUUCAAAAUAAUGCUAACCUGUCAAGUUAUUGAUCUGCACUGUACAUAUUUCCUGGUCAUAGGCAGCUUCCACACAAGAACAUCUGGAUGCAAAUUAAAGAAUUCAAUUACUCAAGCCUAAGUGAUAGAGGAGACCUCGGCUACUCUGCCUGAGCACAUCACUGCUGGAUCUCAAAAUCUGCAAGAACUUCCUAGGGCUUCAGGAACUUUCAUGUGCAUACCAGUCACCUGGGAAUCUUGUUACGAUGCAUAUUCUUUUUCAGUAAGCCCAAAUUCUGCAAUUCUUAUAAGGUCUUAGGGGACAUGAUGUUUGCUUCUAGUGGUCCAUGGUCUACUCCUGAAGGUCCACCAUGCCCAGCUUCAUCUCCCCACCCUCUGGAAACUCUCCUGUACCCAAGCCACUUGCUCUCUUCUAAAUAGGCAUUGUGUUCCCAUGUUCCCAUGUGUCUGCCUCUUUCAACUUCUCCUCUAAAAAUUCUCCAUGACCCCCAAGCAUAAGCCUCCAGCAGCAAGCUCAAAAAUGCUUUCUACUCUGUUGUGUUGCCCGGCCCACUUCAAGAGUAGAUGCUCAAUUCCUUCUUCCCCUAGUCGUAUUUGCUGCUACUUUUGCAGGCUGCUGGAACACUUUCACUCUGAGGAUUCUGAUGAACACAGUUCUUGCCCUCUUCACUUUUCCAAUCUGGUUGCAGGCACAGCGGGGGACAGCAGGAGUGCAACACAGUAACUUAAUAUAAUAUGGAGCUGCUAUUAUGGAGGGAAACAUUCACUGCUCUGAAAGGACUCAACAGCUGAGUCUUAAAGAAGGAUUUUACAAGAUUGACAAAGAAAUGGGUUAUCUCCAGAUAGGAAGGAAAAAUCACAAGGAAUAGUACAGCAAGGAAAGAGGAAACAGCACUGGACUUGGGGAAAAGGGAAAUCCUUGAGAUGUUGCUAAGGCAUAAAGAGCAAGACAGAGAGUGUCAGAAGAUGACACUGACGUCACCUGACUCCUGCUGCUGAGCUUCUCUGACAUUUUCUCAAGGGCUCAAGGCUUGGAUACCCUCUGAUAUGGUUUAUCUGUGUCCCCGCCCAAAUCUCACCUUGGUUUGUAAUCAUCUCCAUGUGUCAAGAAUGGGACCAGGUGGAGAUAAUUGAAUCAUGGGGGCAGUUUCCCACAUACUGUUCACAUGGUAGUAAAUAAGUCUCAUGAGCUCUGAUGGUUUUAUAAAUGGGAGUUCCCCUGCACAGGCUCUUUUUGCCUGCCACCAUGGAAGACACCCCUUUGCCCUUCCUUUAUUUUCUGCCACAAUUGUGAGGCCUCCCUAGCUAUGUGGAAUUGUGAGUGCAUUAAACCUCUUUCCUUUACAAAAU
rnacentral:lncRNA from 1 species